UCGAGCGAGAAAGUUUCUUCGGGAACGAGUACAGCGGCGAACGGGUGAGUAACGCGUAAGAAUCUACCUUUUAGUGGGGAAUACCUUUGGGAAACUGGAGUUAAUACCGCAUAAUCCUUUCGAGGGAAAGACGGCCUCUUUGCUGUCGCUGAAAGAUGAGCUUGCGUACUAUUAGUUAGUUGGUGGGGUAAAGGCCUACCAAGACAGAGAUGGUUAGCCGGCCUGAGAGGGUGAUCGGCCACAUUGGGACUGAGAUACGGCCCAGACUCCUACGGGAGGCAGCAGUGGGGAAUAUUGCACAAUGGGCGCAAGCCUGAUGCAGCGACGUCGCGUGGAGGAUGAAGGAUUUAGGUUCGUAAACUCCUGUUAAAUGGGAAGAAAGAACGUAAGUUAAUAGCUUGCGGAGAUGACGGUACCAUUAGAGAAAGCACCGGCUAACUUCGUGCCAGCAGCCGCGGUAAUACGAGGGGUGCAAGCGUUAUUCGGAUUUACUGGGCGUAAAGGGCGCGUAGGCGGCUUUUUAAGUCAUCUGUUAAAGACCAUUACAUAAUGAUGGAAAGGCAGGUGAAACUGGAAGGCUUGAGGAUAGGAGAGAGAAGUGGAAUUCUUGGAGUAGCGGUAAAAUGCGUAGAUCUCAAGAGGAACACCGAUGGCGAAGGCAGCUUCUUGGCCUAUAUCUGACGCUGAGGCGCGAAAGCGUGGGGAGCAAACAGGAUUAGA
rnacentral:rRNA from 1 species